rnacentral:lncRNA from 1 species
AACCAGGAUCGGCUUCCAUUGCAGGGGACUGGCAGUGCAUCGGGCCUAUGUGUGGCCAGGUAAGACUGGGCAUAGGAGUGAAUGUUGGUUUGUUUGUUUUUUGACACAAGUCUCGCCCUAUCACCCAGGCUGGAGUGCAAUGGCAUGAUCUCGGCUCCCUGCAACCUCUGCCUCCCAGGUUCAAGUGAUUCUCAUGCCUCAGCCUCCCGAGUGGCUGGGAUUACAGACGCGCGCCACCAUGCCCAGGCUGGCUCUUCCAAUGGGCGUUAUGCACCUGGCACAGAGCAGCUGCUCAAUAAACCUGCAGAAUGAGAAUGAAUGUCUAUCGCUUGCACCAGACUGUAAGCUUUGUUAGAACAAAGAUUCUCUUCUGUUCAUCUUUUUAUUCUCAACAUCUUGCACAGAGCCUGCCAUAUGGCGGGGACAUGGAGGCCCACGGAGUACCUGGCAGGCCCACAGUCCACAGGUUGGAAAGAGGUGCCCAAGCCCUGGACUUUAAGCCUGGGCUCUGACCUUCAACGUUUGCUUUUCACACCACACAUCAUGUCAAUAAAUAGUUACUGGAUGCCUGUUGUGUGCCAGGCCCCAAGACGGGUGUUGCGUGACUGACAACAGAAAAAGCUUCUCAGUGGCGAGGGAUAAGCUAGAUCAUGGGCCUUAGUGUAAAUCGCCCAGGGUUCAAAUUCCAGCUUCUCCACUUCCUGGCUAUGAUUUUUUUUUUUUUUUAGACGGAGUCUUGCUCUGUUGCCCAGGCUGAAGUGCAGUGGCCCAAUCUCAGCUCACUGCAAGCUCUGCCUCCCAGGUUCACGCCAUUCUCCUGCCUCGGCCUCCCGAAUAGCUGGGACCACAGUCGCUCGCCACCACGCCCGGCUAUUUUUUUU